CACUAGAUUUUUUUAAAAAUCAUUCAUACUUUAAUAAAAUGGGAUU
rfam:Rattus norvegicus chromosome 8, whole genome shotgun sequence.